UAGAAGGGUUAACUUUGUUCAUAAAAUCUUACGUGUAUGAGGGAAUAAGGAGCUUUUGUUAUAAUUCAACAAGAUAAGUUUCAUGGACAUCCUGUUAAUCAAGCAAGUAUCAGUAAAAAUAAUUGCAGACAUCUUGCUAAGCAAACAAGUAUCAGUAUCAGUAAAAUUUACAACUGAUAAGAAACUGCACCUUUCAUCUCUGACAAAUACCAGAUGACCACUUAACAAUGAGCUACAAACUCAAGCCUCAACGCAGCCGCAUUAAAAACUCGGGACUUGGAAAUGUAUAAAAAGGAACAUUUACUACAUUUUGGUGUGUGCUUCGGCAGGGCACUUGCCCUCCAGGCCACCCAGCGCUGUUUUGCUUUAUUAUCGCUUGCUUAAUAAAUUUAUCAAUGUUUAAUUGGAAUUGAGUUGUCUAAAUUCUUAUACUAACUUAUAACAAUUUUGGUGCAUUGGCCGGGAAACCAAUUUGCUUUGGUGUGGACUCCUGCAGAAAAGGGAGGCGCCCUAUCUCCGGAUAGCCCUGCUCUGAAAGCUGUUCUCACCAAACUCUGGAUCAAUGAACCUAAUAAAAUUUCGAUAAUAAAGCAAAAAAAUCUGCAGACCCCUUAAAUUUUGUGCACGAAGACCAAACGAAGACCCCAGGGAGGGCAUAUUCACAGCCUGGGAGUAUUCGUACUUUCUAUGUCCUACUUGAACUCAGUGUAAAACUGGAGGGAGCUGUAGCAGAAUUGGAAAGAAAACAAAGGGGGACCUUAACCCAAACAGCACCCUUAAAUUUCAAGAUGCAUAGGAUAAACCCUGGAAAUUGGGAAGGAAACAUCUUUAACCCCUUGUUGAGAGAAUCCAUUCCAGGAACUGCACACAACGGAGACUGUGAUCCCUACUGCAAAGCAGAGACGGACACAUCCCUCCCGAAUGACAGAACCUCUCCCAAGUGACCAUUGGACUACAGAAAGAACUAUGGACUAUCUGAAAUUAAUCUUGAUAAGGAAAAGACUGGUGAAUAAAUAAUGAUUCAUUCCUAAAUUUCUAAGGAAGCAUCCCCCCUGCUGUACAAAGGAUUCCAAUACCUCCUUCAUAUACUUUACAAAUAACCCAUUAUAUACCUUAGCAUCCAAACGUAAUUCCUCUCAAAUCAGGGGCAAUCUUUAAAAUAAUAGAAACCCAUAUCCAUCUGCCCCACUGUUAUAAAAUAAAAACCAAUAUUCCUGUACUUCAUAGAAUACCUAGAGGCAUACCCUGUUUAAAACAUCCCCAUUUAAAUCAUAAAAGAUGAAUAAUUUGUCAAUAAUAUAAUAAAAAAAAAUAAUAUUAACUAUUAGUCCCAAGAACACGAAAAAUGUCUAUAAAGUAUAUACACCUAUAAAAUUAUUGGUGGAAGCACGUUAUAAAGUGCCACCUAAGGAAAAAAAUUUAUUCUACCCUUUAAAGUAAAAAAACAAAAACAAAAAAAAACAAACAAACAAACAAUAAUGAUUGAAAUACUUUGUGUGUAAUACUUUGGGAGUGUGGAUUUUUUUUUUUCUCCUUCAAAACAUCUUAAACUUAAACGUCAUAUAAACCCUGAAGAAUACGACUGCUGCCGAGAAGAUUACAAAAUACCUCGCUGCUCCAUGCCACGGAGUCAGGCGAAGGGAGGCAGAGACGUACUAGAGUGGGUCUGUAAAUAUAUGACAAUCCUCUCAAUAAACCUAAACUAAAACUAACACCCUGUAAAAUAAAAAGGACAAAGCCAAACAACAACAAAAAAAAUUGAACCUCAGUUAUACUUCCUCAAGGUCUCCACCAAUAAUUUUAAAGUGAGCAUUUCUAUAUCGUUAUGUACUCAAUAUACCAAUAAUUUAAAAGUAAACAUUUCAAAAACAAACACAAAAAUAACUAAUAAUCAUCAACCCUUUAAAUACUACUAUGCACCUUGGUUAAUUACUCUGUUGUCAAUUAUUACAAAACCUCUUAUUUUAUUACUUUUAAGACUAACAUUUAAACCAUGUAUUUUUUAAUAAAAUUAUUACCAUGUUUAAAAAAAAAAAAAAUGGGGGAUUGUAAUAGAAGGGUUAACUUUGUUCAUAAAAUCUUACGUGUAUGAGGGAAUAAGGAGCUUUUGUUAUAAUUCAACAAGAUAAGUUUCAUGGACAUCCUGUUAAUCAAGCAAGUAUCAGUAAAAAUAAUUGCAGACAUCUUGCUAAGCAAACAAGUAUCAGUAUCAGUAAAAUUUACAACUGAUAAGAAACUGCACCUUUCAUCUCUGACAAAUACCAGAUGACCACUUAACAAUGAGCUACAAACUCAAGCCUCAACGCAGCCGCAUUAAAAACUCGGGACUUGGAAAUGUAUAAAAAGGAACAUUUACUACAUUUUGGUGUGUGCUUCGGCAGGGCACUUGCCCUCCAGGCCACCCAGCGCUGUUUUGCUUUAUUAUCGCUUGCUUAAUAAAUUUAUCAAUGUUUAA